rnacentral:rRNA from 1 species
GGGUUGUGAGGUUAAGCGACUAAGCGUACACGGUGGAUGCCCUGGCAGUCAGAGGCGAUGAAGGACGUGCUAAUCUGCGAAAAGCGUCGGUAAGGUGAUAUGAACCGUUACAGCCGGCGAUGUCCGAAUGGGGAAACCCAGUGCAAUUCGUUGCACUAUCGUUAACUGAAUACAUAGGUUAACGAGGCGAACCGGGGGAACUGAAACAUCUAAGUACCCCGAGGAAAAGAAAUCAACCGAGAUUCCCCAGUAGCGGCGAGCGAACGGGAGCAGCCCAGAGUCUGAAUCAGCUUGUGUGUUAGUGGAACGGUCUGGAAAGUCCGACGGUACAGGGUGAUAGUCCCGUACACCAAAAUGCACAGGUUGUGAACUCGAAGAGUAGGGCGGGACACGUGGUAUCCUGUCUGAAUAUGGGGACCAUCCUCCAAGGCUAAAUACUCCUGACUGACCGAUAGUGAACCAGUACCGUGAGGGAAAGGCGAAAAGAACCCCGGCGAGGGAGUGAAAAAGAACCUGAAACCGUGUACGUACAAGCAGUGGGAGCACCUUCGGGUGUGACUGCGUACCUUUGUAUAAUGGGUCAGCGACUUAUAUUCUGUAGCAAGGUUAACCGUAUAGGGGAGCCGCAGGGAAACCGAGUCUUAACUGGGCGUUAAGUUGCAGGGUAUAGACCCGAAACCCGGUGAUCUAGCCAUGGGCAGGUUGAAGGUUGGGUAACACUAACUGGAGGACCGAACCGACUAAUGUUGAAAAAUUAGCGGAUGACUUGUGGCUGGGGGUGAAAGGCCAAUCAAACCGGGAGAUAGCUGGUUCUCCCCGAAAGCUAUUUAGGUAGCGCCUCGUGAACUCAUCUUCGGGGGUAGAGCACUGUUUCGGCUAGGGGGUCAUCCCGACUUACCAACCCGAUGCAAACUACGAAUACCGAAGAAUGUUAUCACGGGAGACACACGGCGGGUGCUAACGUCCGUCGUGAAGAGGGAAACAACCCAGACCGCCAGCUAAGGUCCCAAAGUCAUGGUUAAGUGGGAAACGAUGUGGGAAGGCACAGACAGCCAGGAUGUUGGCUUAGAAGCAGCCAUCAUUUAAAGAAAGCGUAAUAGCUCACUGGUCGAGUCGGCCUGCGCGGAAGAUGUAACGGGGCUAAACCAUGCACCGAAGCUGCGGCAGCGACACUAUGUGUUGUUGGGUAGGGGAGCGUUCUGUAAGCCUGCGAAGGUGACCUGUGAGGGUUGCUGGAGGUAUCAGAAGUGCGAAUGCUGACAUAAGUAACGAUAAAGCGGGUGAAAAGCCCGCUCGCCGGAAGACCAAGGGUUCCUGUCCAACGUUAAUCGGGGCAGGGUGAGUCGACCCCUAAGGCGAGGCCGAAAGGCGUAGUCGAUGGGAAACAGGUUAAUAUUCCUGUACUUGGUGUUACUGCGAAGGGGGGACGGAGAAGGCUAUGUUAGCCGGGCGACGGUUGUCCCGGUUUAAGCAUGUAGGCUGGUUAUCCAGGCAAAUCCGGAUAAUCAAGGCUGAGGUGUGAUGACGAGGCACUACGGUGCUGAAGUAACAAAUGCCCUGCUUCCAGGAAAAGCCUCUAAGCAUCAGGUAACAUCAAAUCGUACCCCAAACCGACACAGGUGGUCAGGUAGAGAAUACCAAGGCGCUUGAGAGAACUCGGGUGAAGGAACUAGGCAAAAUGGUGCCGUAACUUCGGGAGAAGGCACGCUGGUGUGUAGGUGAAGUCCCUCGCGGAUGGAGCUGAGACCAGUCGAAGAUACCAGCUGGCUGCAACUGUUUAUUAAAAACACAGCACUGUGCAAACACGAAAGUGGACGUAUACGGUGUGACGCCUGCCCGGUGCCGGAAGGUUAAUUGAUGGGGUUACCGUAAGAGAAGCUCUUGAUCGAAGCCCCGGUAAACGGCGGCCGUAACUAUAACGGUCCUAAGGUAGCGAAAUUCCUUGUCGGGUAAGUUCCGACCUGCACGAAUGGCGUAAUGAUGGCCAGGCUGUCUCCACCCGAGACUCAGUGAAAUUGAACUCGCUGUGAAGAUGCAGUGUACCCGCGGCAAGACGGAAAGACCCCGUGAACCUUUACUAUAGCUUGACACUGAACAUUGAGCCUUGAUGUGUAGGAUAGGUGGGAGGCUUUGAAGCGUGGACGCCAGUCUGCGUGGAGCCAACCUUGAAAUACCACCCUUUAAUGUUUGAUGUUCUAACGUUGGCCCCUUACCGGGGUUGCGGACAGUGUCUGGUGGGUAGUUUGACUGGGGCGGUCUCCUCCCAAAGCGUAACGGAGGAGCACGAAGGUUAGCUAAUCCGUGGUCGGACAUCAGGAGGUUAGUGCAAUGGCAUGAAGCUAGCUUGACUGCGAGCGUGACGGCGCGAGCAGGUGCGAAAGCAGGUCAUAGUGAUCCGGUGGUUCUGAAUGGAAGGGCCAUCGCUCAACGGAUAAAAGGUACUCCGGGGAUAACAGGCUGAUACCGCCCAAGAGUUCAUAUCGACGGCGGUGUUUGGCACCUCGAUGUCGGCUCAUCACAUCCCGGGCUGAAGUAGGUCCCAAGGGUAUGGCUGUUCGCCAUUUAAAGUGGUACGCGAGCUGGGUUUAGAACGUCGUGAGACAGUUCGGUCCCUAUCUGCCGUGGGCGCUGGAGAAUUGAGGGGCUGCUCCUAGUACGAGAGGACCGGAGUGGACGCAUCACUGGUGUUCGGGUUGUCAUGCCAAUGGCACUGCCCGGUAGCUAAAUGCGGAAGAGAUAAGUGCUGAAAGCAUCUAAGCACGAAACUUGCCCCGAGAUGAGUUCUCCCUGAGACUUUAAGUCUCCUGAAGGAACGUUAAAGACGAUGACGUUGAUAGGCCGGGUGUGUAAGCGCAGCGAUGCGUUGAGCUAACCGGUACUAAUGAACCGUGAGGCUUAACCUUACAACGCCGAAG